rnacentral:rRNA from 1 species
AUGAGGAUGUACUCCAAGCGGAAUGACCUUUGCACGACGCGCCUAUCAGAGGUGGCCGAGGACGAUGCAACGCUCUUCUCAGAAGCAGUUGAGGAGGCGAAUGAUGCGUCCAACCAAGUUGGCCGCGAAGGAAGAUGCGCUCUUCUUGUACAUGUGUUGUCGAGGCGGCGGACGACGCGCCCAGCGGAGGUGGCCGCGGAUGAAGAGGCGCUCUUCUCGUACCAGGUGUUGUCGAGGCGGCGGAUGACGCGCCCAACGGAGGUGGCCGCAGACAAAGCGGCGCGCUUUCUCGUACCAGGUGCAAUGAAGACGGCGGCGCCCUCGCACACAUGGAUGCAUGUUAGAACAAGGAGGUCAUCGCCCACUUCUUCAACCCCGAUGACAAGGAGACAAGGAGCUUGCCACAGCCACUGCCAUCAAGCCGGUGCCGCAGAAGAUGGUGUCGUGGACCUUGAGGGAUGUUGUCGGCAUCCACUUCGUCAAGAUGGUGCCUCGAUGGAUGGCGACACGGAGCUCGCUCGGAUGAUGCUCCGUCGUCUUCUUCACCAAGACGGUGCCAUAGAGGAUGGAGGCAUGGAGCCCGAAGAUGCCGCCAUCGUGCCAUGGAUGAUGGAGGCGCGGAGCUCGCCAAGAUGA